CCUACGGGGUGCAGCAGGCGCAAGCUUGGCGCAAAACUCGCAGCGACCUUGAAGAGGCGCAAGCCUUACUCAAAGACAGUGAUCCUGAUGUGCGUGAGAUGGCAGCAGAGGAAGUGGCGGAGUGCCGCGAGUCUUUAGAGACUAUUGAGGCUGAUUUGCAGCGCCUGAUGUUGCCUAAAGAUCCCAAUGACGGGCGUAACGUGUUUCUGGAAGUGCGUGCGGGUACCGGCGGCGAUGAGGCAGCGAUAUUUUCUGGCGACUUAAUGCGGAUGUAUUUGCGUUAUGCCGAGCGCCAAGGCUGGCGUGUGGAAAUACUUUCUGAGCAUGCGGGUGAGCAUGGCGGUUAUAAGGAAGUGAUUGCCCGUGUUGAAGGCAACAAUGUCUACGGUAAAUUAAAGUUUGCGCCUGCUGCGCCCCGUAGG
rnacentral:rRNA from 1 species